UUUCGGACGUUGUUUGUUGACUCUGAAUACCGUCGUUUACUGUCAGUUUCGACUGACUCUAUCCGAGAAGGGUGUCUGCCCUUUCAACUAGAUGGUAAUCUAUUGGACUACCAUGGUUGUUACGGGUAACGGAGAAUUAGGGUUCGACUCCGGAGAGGGAGCCUUAGAAACGGCUACCACGUCCAAGGAAGGCAGCAGGCGCGAAACUUAUCCACUGUUGAGUAUGAGAUAGUGACUAAAAAUAUAAAGACUCAUCCUUUUGGAUGAGUUAUUUCAAUGAGUUGAAUAUAAAUUAUUCUUCGAGUAGCAAGGAGAGGGCAAGUCUGGUGCCAGCAGCCGCGGUAAUUCCAGCUCUCCUAGUGUAUCUCGUUAUUGCUGCGGUUAAAAAGCUCGUAGUUGGAUCUAGGUUACGUGCCGCAGUUCGCAAUUUGCGUUAACUGUGGUCGUGACUUCUAAUUUGCUGGUUUGAGGUUGGGUUCGCCCUUCAACUGCCAGCAGGUUUACCUUGAAUAAAUCAGAGUGCUCAAUACAGGCGCUUGCUUGAAUAAACUCAUCAUGGAAUAAUGAAACAGGACUUCGGUUCUUUUUGUUGGUUCUAGAAUUGAUCUAAUGGUUAAGAGGGACAAACCGGGGGCAUUCGUAUCAUUACGCGAGAGGUGAAAUUCGUGGACCGUAGUGAGACGCCCAAUAGCGAAAGCAUUUGCCAAGAAUGUCUUCAUUAAUCAAGAACGAAAGUCAGAGGUUCGAAGGCGAUUAGAUACCGCCCUAGUUCUGACCGUAAACGAUGCCAUCUCGCGAUUCGGAGGGUUCAUGCCCUACCGAGGAGCUACCCGGAAACGAAAGUCUUUCGGUUCCGGGGGUAGUAUGGUUGCAAAGCUGAAACUUAAAGAAAUUGACGGAAGGGCACCACAAGGCGUGGAGCUUGCGGCUUAAUUUGACUCAACACGGGAAAACUCACCCGGUCCGGACACUAUUAGGACUGACAGAUUGAAAGCUCUUUCUCGAUUUGGUGGUUGGUGGUGCAUGGCCGCUCUUACUUGGUGGAGUGAUUUGUCUGGUUUA
rnacentral:ncRNA from 1 species